UACGUAGGCAGCGAGCGUUGUUCGGAUUUACUGGGCGUAAAGGGUGCGUAGGCGGCGCGGUAAGUCGGGUGUGAAAUCUCGGAGCUUAACUCCGAAACUGCAUUCGAUACUGCCGUGCUUGAGGACUGGAGAGGAGACUGGAAUUUACGGUGUAGCGGUGAAAUGCGUAGAUAUCGUAAGGAAGACCAGUGGCGAAGGCGGGUCUCUGGACAGUUCCUGACGCUGAGGCACGAAGGUCAGGGGAGCAAACGGG
rnacentral:rRNA from 1 species